UGGGGAAUUUUGGACAAUGGGCGAAAGCCUGAUCCAGCAAUGCCGCGUGUGUGAAGAAGGCCUUCGGGUUGUAAAGCACUUUUGUCCGGAAAGAAAUCCUUGGCUCUAAUACAGUCGGGGGAUGACGGUACCGGAAGAAUAAGCACCGGCUAACUACGUGCCAGCAGCCGCGGUAAUACGUAGGGUGCAAGCGUUAAUCGGAAUUACUGGGCGUAAAGCGUGCGCAGGCGGUUUGCUAAGACCGAUGUGAAAUCCCCGGGCUCAACCUGGGAACUGCAUUGGUGACUGGCAGGCUAGAGUAUGGCAGAGGGGGGUAGAAUUCCACGUGUAGCAGUGAAAUGCGUAGAGAUGUGGAGGAAUACCGAUGGCGAAGGCAGCCCCCUGGGCCAAUACUGACGCUCAUGCACGAAAGCGUGGGGAGCAAACAGGAUUAGAUACCCUGGUAGUCCACGCCCUAAACGAUGUCAACUAGUUGUUGGGGAUUCAUUUCCUUAGUAACGUAGCUAAUCGCGUGAAGUUGACCGCCUGGGGAGUACGGUCGCAAGAUUAAAACUCAAAUGAAUUGAC
rnacentral:rRNA from 1 species